GGAAGCAGCUUGCUGCUUCGCUGACGAGUGGCGGACGGGUGAGUAAUGUCUGGGAAACUGCCUGAUGGAGGGGGAUAACUACUGGAAACGGUAGCUAAUACCGCAUAACGUCGCAAGACCAAAGAGGGGGACCUUCGGGCCUCUUGCCAUCGGAUGUGCCCAGAUGGGAUUAGCUAGUAGGUGGGGUAACGGCUCACCUAGGCGACGAUCCCUAGCUGGUCUGAGAGGAUGACCAGCCACACUGGAACUGAGACACGGUCCAGACUCCUACGGGAGGCAGCAGUGGGGAAUAUUGCACAAUGGGCGCAAGCCUGAUGCAGCCAUGCCGCGUGUAUGAAGAAGGCCUUCGGGUUGUAAAGUACUUUCAGCGGGGAGGAAGGGAGUAAAGUUAAUACCUUUGCUCAUUGACGUUACCCGCAGAAGAAGCACCGGCUAACUCCGUGCCAGCAGCCGCGGUAAUACGGAGGGUGCAAGCGUUAAUCGGAAUUACUGGGCGUAAAGCGCACGCAGGCGGUUUGUUAAGUCAGAUGUGAAAUCCCCGGGCUCAACCUGGGAACUGCAUCUGAUACUGGCAAGCUUGAGUCUCGUAGAGGGGGGUAGAAUUCCAGGUGUAGCGGUGAAAUGCGUAGAGAUCUGGAGGAAUACCGGUGGCGAAGGCGGCCC
rnacentral:rRNA from 1 species